rnacentral:rRNA from 1 species
GACGAACGCUGGCGGCGUGCUUAACACAUGCAAGUCGAACGGAAAGGCCCUGCGUUUGUGUGUUUCUCGAUUGGCGAACGGGUGAGUAACACAUGUGUAACCUGCCCUUGACUUUGGGAUAUCUUCACGAAACUGGGGCGAAUACCGCAUAGAAUCUCCUGCUGCAUGUUGUUGGUUGGAAAGUUUCGGCGGUUGGGGAUGGACUCGCAGCUUAUCAGCUUGUUUGUGGGGUAGUUGCUUACCAAGGCUUUGACGGCUAGCCGGCCUGAGAGGGGUACCGGGCACCUUGGGACUGAGAUACGGACCAGAAUCCUACGGGACGCAGUAGUGGAGAAUAUUGCACAAUGGGCGGAAGUGUGAUGUAGAAAUGCCGCGUGCGGGAUGACGGCUUUUGAGUUGUAAACAGAUUUGGAAUGUGACGAAGAGUGCGUGACGGUAAUGGGUAAAGAAGCACCGGCUAACUACGUG